UACAGGUGAGUUUUACAGAGAGAUGCUCUUGUAUCCGUCAACUUCCGAACCUACCAGUGAGUUCACAGAUCUCAUUUGCUUUCUCUAGCGCUCUGUCUGCAAACUUCCAUGGCCAACCUUCAUCUGUAGCCUUCGUCUUUUUGCAGUCGUUCAGGCUUCAGCUGACAGUUCACAACUCCACUUGUCAUCUUCGCUGGGACACAGGGAGGAGACUGUGCAGAAGUUGCUCAGCGAGUGUCAGUAGUGCAGUGGGGACGGCGUGCCAGGGCUGCUCGAGGGAAGCACGGAGAUACGGAGCUUUCUGAAGACUUUCCAACACCCUUCCCCUGGCCUUGCAGAAAGGUGAGCCAUGCAGCAGCAGGAGUCUCCGUGCUGCCCUCAGUGCCUGGCCUCCAUUGAGGAAGCCAUGAUCCCCUUGGACCAAGGCUGCUGGGGGCUCCUUCCCCACCCACAGAGCAUCCUGGCCCCAGGGAUGCUCCAAGAGACAUAGAGCUGCACCCCAAUAGGGCUGUGCCACACUGCACCCCUGGGGGCUGCAGGCCAUCGGGAGGGGCAGGGAGAGCUGCUGUAGGUGCUUAUGAGAGCUUUUGGCCGUACCUGCUGACUUGUCCAUCACGCAGUAGUCAGGUGAGUUCUCAAAAUACACCAGGUCUGUCUUCGUGGGCUUCCUGAAGUUCUUGUUGGCCACGGUGAAGCCGGUACCGUCCUGGUUCAUGAUCACCUGGAUGGCCCCGUUGUAUUUCUUCUGCAGGUAAUCCCCCGUUUUCCGGAAAUCCGACAUGGCCAGCCAACAAGUCCUUAGCGUGCAGGAGCCGCUGACCCCAUGGCAUUUGCACUCCAGCUUCAGGAAGCGCUUCACAGCCUGCAGGAAUGGGAGCACAUCAGGACUGGGAAUGGAGGCCACGACCAGCGGGACCAUCCUGGAUGUAUUCAAGGCCAGGCUGGCUGUGGCUCUGGGCAGCUGGUCUAGCGGUUGGCAACCCCGCGCGUAGCAGAGGGGUUGAAACGAGAUGAGCUUUGAGGUCCUUUUCAACCCAGGCCAUUCUAUGAUCCUAUGAAAGGAGCCCCAGGGAUGGGUUCUCCUCGGGAUGGCGGAGCUCUGCACCCUGCCCUGCCCCCACAAACACACCCCUGGCAGCCCUGGGAGGCGUCCCAGCCGCACUCACCAUCCUACCGCAGCGGUUGUUGUGCAGGUUCAUCAGCGCCCGCGCGUCCUUCACUUUCUUCUCCUUGGCAUCCACGAAGGCUUUGGCGAAGCGGAUGCCGUAGUUGAUGUUGUCGCUGCAGCCGCCCCAGUCGAACUCCCCGCGCUCAUCCUUGGCCCGGCCGCGCUUCAGUGGGUCACAGCCGCAGGCCUUCAGCUCCCCUUGGCUGCAGGCGCGCGUGAUGGCGUACACCACCCCGGCCGAGGAGAUGGCGUAGACGAAGGCGGCCUCCCUGCUGCCUGCGGGCACAGAGCCUGGGGGGGAGGAUGUGAAGAACCGUUCUCUCCCUCCCCCAUCCCAACCCACACCCCUGCAUCGGAGCACAACACGGGCACACAGCAGCACCUACUUCGCAGCAUCACCCUCCCGAAGACGGUGUGGUCCCGGUCCAGGGUGCUGCAGUUCCAGCGGUGGUGACGGAAUUGGUACUGGCACUCACGGAUCCACUCCUUGGCUCCCUCCCCGACGGACUGCAUGAUGUCGGGGUACCUCUGGCACAGCUGCCUCUGCUUGUUCACCAGCCCCGGGAUGUUGUCGCAGAUGACCCUCGCCCCCAGCGCCCCGAUGUACCUGCAGGGAGAAGGGAAUGGUGUGGAGGUGCCUGGAGGUGCACCUCUGGGCCCCAUCCCUGCUGCUGUGCGGCACAGGCACCAAUGCAGCUCAGGUGGAAGAGGAGGAGAUGUGAGCUUCACUUGCUGCUGCAGGCCUUGCUCAUGCUGCUAGCACCAAGCCAUGUUUAAGAUCAUGCCCUGAAGACAGACAGCUGGGGCUGUGCUGUGCUGUCUGUCCUGUGUGCACGCUGUCUGCACCUCCGUGCAUUGCUGGGAGCGGGCAGCAGCUCCAUACAGCAGCACAAUGCACAACCGUGCUUGGUGUGCAGUGGGCAGCUUUCCCCACCAACCGGGGGGAUCCUGGCUCUUCCUGCACCCAGCAGCCCUCAGGCCUGUGUGGACAAUGGAGACAUGGUGGAAUUUUCCAUCCCCAUCCCAUGCAUGCUCUGCCAGCAGCAGGCUGCUCUGCGCCGGGGAGUGAUUUUUGCCACAUACCACGGAGCUGUGAUUCUGGCUGCAAGGGAAGAGGUUUGGGUGGGAUUCAAAUGUUUCAAACCCCCAGACUGGAAAUAAGACCCUCCCUUUAAUCACACUAAAAAGCAAUAAACUUGGGCAAUAUGUCA